GCUGUGAUGGUGUAGGGGUUAGCACGGCAGAUUGUGGUUCUGCCAGCCCGAGUUCGAUUCUCGGUCACGGCC
rfam:Euryarchaeota archaeon TMED99 40885, whole genome shotgun sequence.